rnacentral:rRNA from 1 species
UACGGAGGGUGCAAACGUUGCUCGGAAUUAUUGGGCGUAAAGCGCACGUAGGCGGUUGGGUAAGUCGGGUGUGAAAACUCCAGGCUCAACUUGGAGAUGCCACCCGAUACUGCUCUGACUUGAGUUCGGUAGGGGAGUGGGGAAUUCCUGGUGUAGCGGUGAAAUGCGCAGAUAUCAGGAGGAACACCGGUGGCGAAGGCGCCACUCUGGGCCGAAACUGACGCUGAGGAGCGAAAGCGUGGGUAGCAAACAGG